rnacentral:rRNA from 1 species
GAUGAACGCUAGCGGCGUGCCUAAUACAUGCAAGUCGAGCGAACGGACGAGAAGCUUGCUUCUCUGAUGUUAGCGGCGGACGGGUGAGUAACACGUGGAUAACCUACCUAUAAGACUGGGAUAACUUCGGGAAACCGGAGCUAAUACCGGAUAAUAUUUUGAACCGCAUGGUUCAAAAGUGAAAGACGGUCUUGCUGUCACUUAUAGAUGGAUCCGCGCUGCAUUAGCUAGUUGGUAAGGUAACGGCUUACCAAGGCAACGAUGCAUAGCCGACCUGAGAGGGUGAUCGGCCACACUGGAACUGAGACACGGUCCAGACUCCUACGGGAGGCAGCAGUAGGGAAUCUUCCGCAAUGGGCGAAAGCCUGACGGAGCAACGCCGCGUGAGUGAUGAAGGUCUUCGGAUCGUAAAACUCUGUUAUUAGGAAAGAACAUAUGUGUAAGUAACUGUGCACAUCUUGACGGUACCUAAUCAGAAAGCCACGGCUAACUACGUG